UUCCUUAACCUAAGUUAUUACAGCUAAUACUGUGGUUAAUGGUUUCUGGAAAGAUGCCGUCUAUCAGCACUGGAAUGUACACAUUUUGGCCCAAACAUUGAGAAAUCGCAGGUUCCGUGCCUGCUCAUUUGAGUUUGGGUGUGAAAAAAAAAAAAUACAUCAAAUCCUAACACACAAAUGUGGCUCUCUCCAGCCACACUUCAUCACGUGGUUUCAUCAGAUGGACUUAAUUUUCUGCAUGACAUUAUCUUUUCAAGCUGACAGGGUAAGAUUUUUUUUUUUUUAACCCUCCACAAAUCAAAAUUCCUGGAGGAAAAAAAAGGGGGGGAACUCGAGGCUAUUUGUGGUUGCCCUUCUCUUUUCCAAACAUCAAGUAAAGUAUGGUUGGGAUUUGAAUGAGAAUGGCCCCCUCAAGUCUCAUAUAUUUAAGUACUUAGCCCUCACUGAAUGGAACUAUUUGGGAAGGAUUAAGAGAGACGACUGAGAAGUUGCAAGUAGCUGCUGUGUGUGAGCUGCUGAUAGGAUUCAGUGUGGUUCUGAAAGCCUGAACUAGAGGAGCUCGUGAUGUGGAUCUCAGUCUGAGAGCAGAAGGAGGUUCAAGGAAAAGAGGAUUAUUGUGGAUUCCAGCUUCAGAGAGCUACAGUUCAUCAUACUACAGAAACAAAACACAACACAACACAACACAACACAACACAACAGGCAGGAAAGGCCUGGAGGCAAGAGACAGAAGCUGGUGAAUAACAUAUCAUCCACACACAGGAAGUAGAGAAAGACUGAACAGGAAGUGGAACCAGGCUGCAAAAUAUCAGAACCCAACCCCAAUGAUAUGCUCUCUUCAGCAAGGCGCCACGUCCUAAAUUGUGUAACUUUCCUAAACAUUACCACCCACCGGGGACCAAGUAUUUAAAGACAUGUCACCGGGCUUUCCUAGACAUCUGUAUAUCUCCAUAAAUGCUCAAAGAUAAGCAUGUACAGUAGAAUUCAGUGAUGAAAAAUGAGUAUGGAUGUAAUACUGGCAUUCAAAUACUCUUCCUGGAGUGCUACAUGAUAACCUUGGUUAUAUUGUCUUCAUUUCACAAGAUUCUUGUUCAAUUCAAAUGCUCUGACACCUUAGUGGACAUUUAGCUAUCUGAAUUUUGCUUAGGAAAGCAGUUCCCACUGCUAUACAUUAAGGCUGUGGUCUCCAUUCCCUUCCCCUCCCCUCUUUCCCUCUCCCCCUGCAACUUCCCUCUGUUCCCCCCCUACUCUUUUCCCAUCUUCUCUUCUUCCCUUCCCCUGUCCAAGUCCUAGAUGGCAGAUGAGCCUUCCUCUCCCCUUCUCUGCGUCAUUAAGUAUGCUGGUGGCUCUGUGGAGCCUGGAUGAAGUCACAUGGUUGGGAUGCCAUCUCUAAUCCCAUUUUCCAUUUGUAUAUUGGAUUUUGUUAACCACUUUUUAAAUAAAAAUACAGCAUGAUUCUAAUGUACUAAGGAGUUCCAGGGAUAACCAUAUAAUUUCAAAAUGAUACUGAUUUUGUUUAUAUGCAGCAUAAUCUUUUACAGUCCCGCGUCUUUAUUUGAAGCAUUGCAAAGUGGAUUUUUAUGAAAGUAUUAUAAAGGACUCCUUGUUUCUCCAUAACAGAUCUGAACGUUAACUGAUCAGAGUUCAGAUAAAUAGUCUUUACUCUCCAUUAAAAUAUUAAAAAGCCUUUGGUAAGAAACUGGCAUAAAGAUCCUUCAUUCUUGUUUAAUGAACACUUGUUGGCAAGUAUAACACUUUAAUAGCUUCAUAGAAUGAAUUUUGUGUGUGCACCCUCCAUUUCCCUGUCAGACACUUGUCCAGGUGCUGAGAAUUUAUUGGAGGAAGCAUAUUUUUGCUCAUUAGUUUUGUAUUUGAUUACAGAAUAGUAAAAUAUGAACCACUGGGUCCCCGAGGCAUAGCUGUGUACACCGAGAUUAGUAAUUGCAUGUCAUCGUGUUCCAUUGGAAUUUAUACGGUCAGAUGGGAUAGGUGCUUCUUAAAGAGGUUUAAAAGCAAAACAAAUUUGUACUUAAUCUUUUUUUUUUCUGCAGCUAUAGUCUUUCUAAUGGAGAAAAGCUCAGGUUGCACCAUAUAUUUUAAACAGUUUUAAUUUUUUCCUUUUCUAGUUUUCUUCACAAAUGAAGCCUAUCAGAUUUUCACACUAACAACUACAAAGAAAUCAAUGCCUAUAAGGAAGAUAUGAUAUAAAACCUGUCAGCAGAGACCAGUUUUGCCCACAUUCCAGCAGGCACAAUGACGGGGGAUGACGAUAGGUGUAGACAAGUCCUGCCAUUCCAGCAAGAAGCUUAAAGGCAAAAUAGAAAUUACACAGGGAUCUUCAAGAGACGGCCACCCCCACCCAAUCCAACUCGAGGUUUUCAUAGCACACAGACUGUUUUGUCCCCUUAAACAAGUUACAGGAGUGCAAGCUGAGCUUGUGUUUUUUAAAGUUAGGCCUGCCAUAAGAAAUUAUCAUUUUGUUGUUUUGCUGUAUAACAAUAAAAAGGGAGCCGCAUUAAAUC
rnacentral:lncRNA from 1 species